UCUACCCUGGCGCUUGGGGCUCUUUUCUUGGGAGGUCCCGUUGAGCCCACCAGGAUAUUUUGAGGCACUCUCUUGUCGCCCCUUUUGGGGUGACUCUAGCAUGACUUCACCGGGACAGGGCCCCCAGUUAAAAGGCUCAGUGUGCCAACUCCCUUGUAGCUGGCUGCGAUCAGCCAAGUGUGGGCUGCCCAGCUGCCUCUGAGCCUCACGGCUGCCCGCUCUCCUUGGUUUGGGGGCUCCUUCCUCCAAUUUCAAACCCAGCAGCUUGAGAUCUUCAAACUCGCCCCUCUCUCUUUCUAAGUUGGGGAAGUCCACAAACGUUUCCUUCCCACACACCUCUCCGUGGGCUAUUUAAUGCAAUACUGUGAGGUGUGGUGAGCUGGGUUUCGUUUUUAUCUAAUGAGGCCAAAAGCGGAAAGGAGAAGGGAAGUGGCCAGGACUGGGCUCUGGCGCGGCAUUCCAGGCUGCACUGCUCAGAGCCACCACCAGGGGGCACACGGGGCCGUGGAAUGCACUUCUUGUUCAGCGGCUUUCUCUGCUCCUGUCUGCUCCUGUCUGCCUGGCUCUGCUAACUUUGGGAACUGUCCCUCUCUGGCUCCAAGUGGCAGAAACAGUUCCACUGAUCCACAUGUCGCCGUCACAGGGCACCUGUAGCCCGUUACUUGGGAGGUUCAGGCAGGAGAAUCGCUUCAGCCCAGCAGUUCUCAGCCAGCCUGGGUAACACAGGGAGGGAGACCGUCCCUCAAGGGGAGCACGUUGACUGGUGUGUUUCCAGCCCAAGGGACACGGGAGACUGGAGGCGCCUCUCUGUGGUGACCGACUUCCACUCCCAGCAGCCACUGUUCCCAAACCCGUUUGUGCGGUCGGACUUGUUCUAAUUACAUUUUUAAUUAUCAAGUGAGCUGAUUACUAGAGUAAAACCAAGCAAAGUUGUCCUGGCAGCAAAGCCAGACAAGUUCCCAAGUGUCUUCGAGCAAGACUGAUGGAUAGACUCAUACCAACACUCAUAAAAGGCAGCCCAACGCGAUACAACACGUCUGGAAUCCCAGCACAGGGAAGGCAGAGGCAGGAGGAUCAGGAGUUCAAAGUCACCCUCAGCUACAUAUGGAGUUCCAAGCCAGCCUGGACUACAUGAGGCUGUGAAAGAGAAUUCCUGGAAAGAAGCUGUCCCUGCAGAGACUGGCUGGCACCACAGAGGGAGAUAGAACAGCGUGUCUACUCACUCCAGAGGGGUAUCAAUGACAGACCCAAGUAAAGAUACCACCAAAGGCCAACCAGGUGAAGCCUCGAGUUUCCGGGGUUACUUGCAGGAGCCUGGACAGCCUGAAGCCACCUGCCACUAGAAGCCCAGGUCAGCCGGAUGGGUGACAGCUCUGGAAAGCUGGAAAUG